UACGGGGGGAGCAAGCGUUGUUCGGAUUUACUGGGCGUAAAGGGCGCGUAGGCGGCCACCGCAAGUCGGUUGUGAAAUCUCUGGGCUUAACCCAGAAAGGUCAACCGAUACUGCGGGGCUAGAGUGCAGGAAGGGCAACUGGAAUUCUCGGUGUAGCGGUGAAAUGCGUAGAUAUCGAGAGGAACACCUGCGGCGAAGGCGGGUUGCUGGGCUGACACUGACGCUGAAGCGCGAAAGCUAGGGGAGCGAACGGG
rnacentral:rRNA from 1 species